GAUGAACGCUAGCGGCAGGCUUAAUACAUGCAAGUCGUGGGGCAGCAGGGGUAGCAAUACCCGCUGGCGACCGGCAAACGGGUGCGGAACACGUACGCAACCUUCCUUUAACUGGAGAAUAGCCCCUCGAAAGAGGGAUUAAUACUCCGUAACAUAUUGACCCCGCAUGGGGUUAAUAUUAUAGUCUUCGGGCGGUUAAAGAUGGGCGUGCGCCUGAUUAGAUAGUUGGUGAGGUAACGGCUCACCAAGUCUGCGAUCAGUAACUGGUGUGAGAGCACGACCAGUCACACGGGCACUGAGACACGGGCCCGACUCCUACGGGAGGCAGCAGUAAGGAAUAUUGGUCAAUGGACGCAAGUCUGACCCAGCAACGCCGCGU
rnacentral:rRNA from 1 species